UACGUAGGGGGCUAGCGUUGUUCGGAUUUACUGGGCGUAAAGCGCACGUAGGCGGAUCGAUCAGUCAGGGGUGAAAUCCCAGGGCUCAACCCUGGAACUGCCUUUGAUACUGUCGAUCUGGAGUAUGGAAGAGGUGAGUGGAAUUCCGAGUGUAGAGGUGAAAUUCGUAGAUAUUCGGAGGAACACCAGUGGCGAAGGCGGCUGACUGGUCCAUUACUGACGCUGAGGUGCGAAAGCGUGGGGAGCAAACAGG
rnacentral:rRNA from 1 species